rnacentral:rRNA from 1 species
UACAGAGGGUGCGAGCGUUAAUCGGAAUUACUGGGCGUAAAGCGCGCGUCGGCGGCUUUGCAAGUCGGGUGUGAAAUCCCCAGGCUUAACCUGGGAACUGCAUUCGAGACUGCAUUGCUAGAGUAUGGGAGAGGGAAGUGGAAUUUCCGGUGUAGCGGUGAAAUGCGUAGAUAUCGGAAGGAACAUCAGCGGCGAAAGCGACUUCCUGGACCAAUACUGACGCUCAUGUGCGAAAGCGUGGGGAGCAAACAGG